CCAGAAACGACACAGAAAGUCAUAAAGUCAAAGAUAACUUUUAAAAACACCAGUACAGGCUCAUGAGGCCCUGAUGGUAAAAAAAAAAACUAUAUUUCCGCGAAAAUGACAUCACUUCCGGUUUCGGGCAGGUCAUGGCGGUCAUGUGAAAGUUCACGCUGAAGUCUAUUCCAACCUAGGAAGUGUUACAAAGAGCUGAUCGGAUCGGCGAAGCGUGUUUCUGGAAUAUUAUGUUUUUGUUGCUGCAAGCGCUUUUUAUGCAGUUUUUGCAAAGCUAUAUGUGGAAGGAAACUGUGACCUAGGACAAGCUGAUGGCAUGAGAUGAGCUGCCCUCAGAUUCAGACCUCAGCACCACCCAGUGACAGCAGACAGAUCAUCCAACAUGUUAACUGCAAAAUGAACUGAUGAAAACAGUACAAAGGUUAAAGUAUCACACGUGCUGUAGUGAAAGCUGCAGCUUUAUUGAUAAAGUUAAAGACAAAAAAACAAAAGGAUUAAUCACUCAUGUAACUGUGUCACUAUAUAUCAGCAUUAACAGGACCUCAGUUUGGUGUUUCACAAAGCUGCUGAUCUCAGACCUGCACAGCUUCCGAUUUAAACACUUGAUGUACUCAGCUGCAUGAAGAGCAUAUGAGAUUUUCUCGGACACAAUUAAAUAAAACCUGAUGAAGGUCAAAGGUCGUCACUUGUAUGUUGAACUACAAACUUGUCAUCUGGAAUUCUUUCACAGUUUUUUGCAGAUAAUGUGUUAUUUACUUUAAAGUGAUUCAGAGUUAUUCAUACCAGAGUAACCAGAGAGGAUCACAUAUUUUUAAAUAUAUAACUUUCUACAGGACUGAAUAUAAUAUCUUUAUGUAAAAGUCCGGAGCCUCUGGGGAGUAUCCGAGUAUUUAUAACAUUACACAAACCAAAGGUCUCCAUCACAGUGUUCAUGAAAUGCUGGAUUUAUCCAUCUCCUGGAUCGGGCCUACGGAGGAGUGCUGAAGAUUUCCCUGUGAGGGAGCUGCUGGUGAAGAUCAUGAGUCCUGCUUGAUCAAUGCGAUGAGCUUCAGUCUUCCUGGUGUUUCUUAAAUGAUGCCUCUUACAGCGGGUCAACAGAACUUAUG
ensembl:lncRNA